rnacentral:rRNA from 1 species
UACGAAGGGGGCUAGCGUUGCUCGGAAUUACUGGGCGUAAAGGGCGCGUAGGCGGCACUGUUAGUCAGGCGUGAAAGUCCUGGGCUCAACCUGGGAACUGCGCUUGAUACGGCAGAGCUAGAGGAUGGAAGAGGCUCGCGGAAUUCCCAGUGUAGAGGUGAAAUUCGUAGAUAUUGGGAAGAACACCGGUGGCGAAGGCGGCGAGCUGGUCCAUUACUGACGCUGAGGCGCGACAGCGUGGGGAGCAAAAGGG